CGUUUAUAUUUCCCACUGCUUUCAGGCACAAAAUUAUUUUCCGUUGGCGAGUCGGCGUCACGUGACGGGAGGCGACCAUUUUGUGGCGGACAGCAGAGAAGGUUCUGGAAGACGGAGGCGGCAUCAGCUGAGGCCUGGGCUCGGCGUUAGAUUCAGCCGCAACUUCCAGCUUCAUUUAAAAACAAAACGCUUGCAUUACAAUAUAGCUAUUUUGGAAACCAUUAUUCGAACGGGAUGGAGAACCGGGAUAAAGAGCAGUAUCGCAAGCUGUUCAUCGGCGGUCUCAGUUUUAAUACAACAGAAGAAAACUUAAAAGGCCACUUUGAACAAUGGGGAAAGCUGACAGACUGUGUGGUCAUGAGGGAUCCUCUAAACAAAAGAUCAAGAGGGUUUGGAUUUGUGACAUUUUCAGCUGCUGAAGAAGUUGAUGAUGCAAUGGCUGCAAGACCUCAUAAAAUUGAUGGUCGUGUGGUGGAGCCUAAACGUGCAGUGGCAAGAGAGGAAUCUGGGAAACCAGGUGCUCACUUAACUGUGAAGAAAUUAUUUGUUGGUGGAAUAAAAGAUGACACUGAUGAACAUCACCUCAGAGCGUAUUUUAAGAACUAUGGGAAAAUAGAAUCCAUUGAUGUAAUAACCGACCGACAAAGUGGGAAAAAAAGAGGAUUUGCAUUUGUAUCAUUUGAUGACCAUGAUCCGGUGGACAAAGUAGUCCUUCAAAAGUAUCAUUAUGUUAAUGGCCACAAUGCAGAAGUGAGAAAAGCGCUGUCUCGUCAGGAAAUAAUGGAGGCACAAAGUACCCGGAUGGGACGAGGAGGUGGAGGAUUUAGAGGAGACUCUCGUGGCAAUUUUCCUGUGGGUCGUGGUGGAAACUUUGGAGGUGGAUCUCAUGGAUUUGGAGGUGGUCGUGGUUUUGGUGAUGGUCCUGGUUUCAAUGGAUAUGGUGGAGGUGGUGGUAACUAUGGCGCUGGAUUUGGUGGAGGAUUUGGCAAUCAGGGUGGUGGCUAUGAUGGAGGUGGAAAUUAUGGUGGAAAUUUUGGUGGUGGUGGUAACUACAAUGAUUUUGGAAAUUACAAUCAUCAGAAUUCUAAUUUUGGACCAAUGAAAGGUGGAAACUUUGGAGGUAGAAAUAUGGGUGGACCAUAUGGAGGAAACUAUGGAGGAGGUGGAGGAGGAGGAUAUGGUGGCCGUAACAGAUACUAAUUCAAUAACCCAUUCCAAGGGUUUUAGUAUCUCAAAAUGGGUGUUGAUUGUCCACUGGACCUUAGAGCUGCCAGACUUGAUUCCACAUGUGAUCAGAAACAUCCUCAGCCAGCAUCUGACUUAUGUCAACUGGUCUGAUCUGCACUGAAACUGAAAUCACAGUGGUGAGGGCAGUGAUCUUGGCUAUAAGCCACAUGAUGAGUUUUGUUCUCUGCUGAAGUAGGAUCCGAUACGGAACAGUGGAUCAUGAACAUUUUUGGCAAGGAAGCUGAGUUGUGUGAAUUAAUUGCUUUGCAUUCAGUGACAGGCUUUAAAUAUGGUUUUGACCUGUCUAAUCUGCUUAGUUUCUCAUACGGCAGGCCUGCCAUCCUUGGAACUAGUAUGAAUUUUUAAACCAUAGUCCAAAAUUGUGCACAGUAUGUCAAGUACAAUCUCACAAAGGUCGUGUAUGAUUGCAGUAAAACAUCUUUACUCCAUGUUUUGAAAUGCUGCUGUGAUAAAAAGCCAUCAGCUUUUCUGAUUGCUUUAACAUCUGCAUGUUGGCUUUAAGUGAGUUUACAGGAAUACAUUGGACCCUUUGAACAUCAGUAUUACCCAGUCUAUUUAUAUUUUAUAUUACCUACUUUUCUACUAUGUGCUCAAAAGGAGCUGCCCUACUUAUCUUGGUAAUGGUAGUUUUUGCCAAACCAGACUGUCUAUAUUCUCCUUGAAGGCAUCCUCCCAAUUCUCAGUUCCAUCUAAUUUUGUAUUCAUCCACAAACUUGGAAAUAAGUUUAAACAUUGCUAAAUUGUUGGUAGAUUAUAAAUAACUGGUACUCAAGCACUCAGAUUAUAAAUAACUGGUACUCAAGUGUAGUUCACCCCCCCCCCCCCCCCCACUUCACUGCCAGCCAAUUUGAGAGCUGUUUGUUACGUUUCUCAUUUCUGUCUGAUGAAAUUAAUUAGUACUUCAUUGUCUGAAAGAUACUCUGACCAUUGUUCCAAAGACAUCGGAUGCAGCCAAAAAACUUAAGAUGUAGAUGCUAAUUUUGUGACCGAACAUGUUUGAUUUUUUUGAAAUUGGAAAACUGAAACCUUUGUGUUCAUAUCCAUGUUUAGUUCUGUCCUCUACAGCUGGUAAAUGGCAUAGUAGUAUUUGGAGCAAAUGUGGAAAGGUUAAUGGUGAAUAAAAGCCAUGGACGGAUGAUUGUGCUUCCAGUACUGGUGAGAUUGUUGCAUAAGUUCUGGAUGAACCAUUAAGAGUUGAUGUUAACAGGGCAUUCGUGCAUUAAAAAAAAUCUGGGUUUUAAGGCCAUCUUACUCUGCCAAUUAGAAGAACAAAGGAAUGGAUCUGUGAGAGCCAGAAAUGUCUACUUGGUUGGUAUAUGAUUAGAAUAUAUGGCAAUGGGUCAAAUUAGCUUACUUCACUUGUGUAAAACGUAAAAUUCAAAUCAACAAUAUCGGGGGUUUUUUUAAGUAAUAGACUGCAAUGUUUAAAUUAUACAUGGCUUCAUUGGUCAAAGUAUAUAAUACCAAUGCAGUGGUGCCACAAGAAACAGAAAGUUAUGUGUACUUUGCAAGGGUGUCUUGUAUUCGGUUUUUAUCACAAAGCUUUUAUGGUGCUGGUUGCAAAGUAGAUCUGCAAGGAUAUUGCCAGGGCUGGAGAACCACAAGCGUAGUUUUGAGGAGAAGCUGGGUAUAUUUGAAGUGUUUCUUUUGGAGCAAAGAAAACUGAAAACGAAUCUAAUUAGCAUGUAUAGAAUUAUAAAAGUUGGGUAAUGAUGGAGCAUUAAUAGAACAAUUAGAGGAGAAUCAAAGAAUACUUCACCCGAGGAGGUCAAGACCUUGUAACUUAAGGUGGUGGAGGAAGAACUAUUAAUACUUAAAAAUGCCAGGUAUUUGUACUAGCUGCACAACAUUGGAUGUUAUGACUUAACAGCUGAGAAUUAGUAAACCUUUGUUUAGCAUGGAAAUGGGCCAAAUGGCCACUGCUCUGAUACUGUGUGUCAUCAACAUGUUUGAAACUGGCAGUGCAAUAGGCUUGCGUCAUAUCGAUUAGUUACAACCUUGUGUCCUGAUUUCCUUUAGUAGUUUGGAAGAGUGCUUUUAAUAUUCCUGGGCCGAGGGGAAGAUUUGGGCUAGUAUAGAAUAACAAUAAUUGCCAAGGAGAUUUGGAUGUCAAGAGUAAGGCCACGUGAUGUUGGAAGUGAGAGGUGACCAUGAUUGUGAGCAAAGGUAUUCCAAAUGGGAAUUCAAGGGAGAACAGGAGAGGAUUGAACCUUGUGAGCAGAAAAUAUUUUAUGCCUGUGGGAUUUUGAAGACUCCUGAACAAAUCCAUUUAUUGUGCUGCUAACAUAGGAUUGCAUUUCACAAUAGAUGGCAUCUACAAUGUCAAUAUUGUUGCUAUUAUGCUGAAAUCUUUACCUAUGCUAUAAGAUAUAGUGUACUUGUGCAUCCCAUUAACUAGUAAUUUUCCGGUCUUAAUUCAAUAAAUCUAAGACUGCACCACAGCAACUAGUGAUCUUAACCGGAAAUUAAAAAAAAUCUGAGAGUUGGAACUAUUGACCAUUUUUUAAUGGGAGUUGCAUGUAAUAUAAAACUAACAUUUCCACUAUCUUUAAACAAUUUUACUCAAAUUGUCCUUUUUAACAUCUCAUUUCUUAUUCUAAAUGUUUGACCCACUUGAUUAUAACUGUUAUAAUCUUGAUAUUUUUUUUUACCUAGGUCUGGCAUGACAUACUUUCAAGUAAAUGAUAAUCCCAGUAUAUGCUGAGGAAUGUAAACAAAAUGGGCCCCUGUCAUUGAAUUGUAUGUGAAUUCCAGCAACAGUAUAGUAACAGGUCUGAUGCAUGUCACUCAGUAAAUCUUGGAAUUGCUGCAUGUGCAGCAUCAUUGUGGAACUUCUGUUGCAGAGAAAUUCCAUUCAUAUUUAGUGUACUAAACGUGUUUAGAACUAAUGCCAAAUCAGAUUGUCAUUAAAAAGAAUGUAAAAUUG